rnacentral:rRNA from 1 species
GACAAUGGGCGAGAGCCUGAUCCAGCCAUGCCGCGUGCAGGAAGACUGCCCUAUGGGUUGUAAACUGCUUUUGUAUAGGAAGAAACCUUUCCUCGUGAGGAAAAUUGACGGUACUAUACGAAUAAGGAUCGGCUAACUCCGUGCCAGCAGCCGCGGUAAUACGGAGGAUCCAAGCGUUAUCCGGAAUCAUUGGGUUUAAAGGGUCCGUAGGUGGACAAAUAAGUCAGAGGUGAAAUCCUGCAGCUCAACUGUAGAACUGCCUUUGAUACUGUUUGUCUUGAGUUAUUAUGAAGUGGUUAGAAUGUGUAGUGUAGCGGUGAAAUGCAUAGAUAUUACACAGAAUACCGAUUGCGAAGGCAGAUCACUAAUAAUUAACUGACACUGAUGGACGAAAGCGUGGGUAGCGAACAGGAUUAGAUACCCUGGUAGUCCACGCCGUAAACGAUGGUCACUAGCUGUUUGGACUUCGGUCUGAGUGGCUAAGCGAAAGUGAUAAGUGACCCACCUGGGGAGUACGUUCGCAAGAAUGAAACUCAAAGGAAUUGACGGGGGCCCGCACAAGCGGUGGAGCAUGUGGUUUAAUUCGAUGAUACGCGAGGAACCUUACC